GUUCUGUUGGUGUAGCGGUUAUCACAUCUGCUUAACACGCAGAAGGUCGCAGGUUCGACACCUGCACAGAACA
rnacentral:tRNA from 1 species